rnacentral:lncRNA from 1 species
GCAAUCAGCCUUCACAUCUGAAAGAGCCUAAUAGCAAGCUGCAGCAUUUUUGCAAUGUGAGAGUGAGGAGCUGAGAUGAAAACCCAAGCUUCCUAGUUCCUAAUCCAGAGCUUGUAGUGUCUUUGUGAUACAGCCUUGCAGAGAGGUUAAAAAAAAAUCCCCAAAUGAAAACUGAUGGCUUAUCUAUUUAAAGUAGAGGCAGCAAAUAACUCAUGAAUUCAUGCCUUUGCUUAUUACGUCCCUUGCAGUGGAGAUGGAUGGAUGAGUCGAUCUAUCUCUGCCUACAUGUCUCUCUGCACUAUGCAAGGAAGAUGAGAUAGGUUGGGGAAAGCAGUGAGGUAUGAUGGAUAGAGGACAUGGCCGAGACUCAGAGAACUGAAGAUAUAGCCCUAGUUCUGCCGACAGAGUGAACUUGAGGAAAAGAAAACAUCAGCACCAGAGCCAAACCUAUUUCUCCGGGGAGAGGAUUCCUGCAGGGGAGGUCUGCUCAUGUUCUGGGGGCUGCCCUCCAUCAUGGCUACCUACCUUCGGAAUGUUUGCUUUCACUGGGCCCUCCUGGAUGGAUUGGCAACUCUUCCCAAGUCAGACCCUGGUAUGCCCUUGUUGGUUUCUAGCAGUUAGCAGGCUGGGCAAGGAGGCGACUGGGAAGAGUCCUCCUCAAUGAACGCAUGCGUGUAAGAGGGAAGGAAUGAACUACGAACAGGAAGUAAAUUUCUUUCCAAGAGAAAAAAGCUGGAAAAAUAAUUGUUCCUCUUGUUUAGAAGAUGACAGCUUUUUUUUUUCUUCAUUAAGCGCCCUUCUCUUCAAAAGACAAAAAAGGGUGAGAGAAACUUGAAGACUUCAGUCCUUUUUGUAUCUAUGACUCCGGAAAGGAAAGAAAAAUAAACCAUGUAGAACCUGCUUGCUGUCCUGUCCUCUGCCAGCCGUUGGCCUCAGUAAUCGGAUUCAAGGAUAUGUAUGACCUACUUUUUGAAUCACUGCAGCCCAGGCUGCGCAAUUUCUUAUGUUCUCUUGCUGAGAAACCAACAUACAAGCAGAGAUUGUGUAUUUUUCUGUAAAGGUAGAGGUAGGCGCUUCUGGAAAUUCUGGAAACCUUUCCAAGUUUACAGCACAAACGACCGGAAUGUUAAGAAGGGCUUUUGUUAACAGCUACCCAACACUGUCCUGGAGGCUUUUUAAAGAGCUUAUCUCAUUGAAGCCAAGGCUGGGGCUAGCGAGAGGCCAAUGAGGUGAGUCAUGCUUCUGCAGGGGUGGAUUCUGUCUUUAUUUAGAAUUUUGAAAUUUUGUUCCUUAUGGAUUUUUUGCAUUGAUUUUGAUUUUUUUUAAAAAAGAUUCCUCUAUUGAGUUGAAUAGUAUCUCUCCAAAAUUCAUGUCCUCUCCAAACCUCAAAAUGUGAGCUUAUUUGGAAAUAGAGUCUUUGCAGAUGUAAUUGGUUGUGAUGAAGUCAUUCUAGAUUAGAGUGGAGUCUAAAUCCAAAGACUGCAGUCCUUAUUAGGAGGUUGUGUGAACACACAGAGACCCAAGGGGAAGGUGGUCAAUGUGAAGACAGAGGCAGCAAUUGGAGUGAGGCAGCAAUUGGAGUGAUGCAGCUACAAGCCAAGGAGCACCAAGG